GAAGAGAGGCCGUCCCUCCCCAGGGAGCAUGUUCCACCUCUUCUCCCACUGCUGGUCGUGGCUGCAGGCCAUACAGGAGCCCAUCAGGAAGGUCACGCUCCUCGUGCUGGGACUGGACAACGCUGGGAAAACCUCUGUCAUCAUGGACCUAGACAGAGCACUGCCCAGCGAGGGGCUGCCCACGGCACAGCCGGGCCAGAGCCGCCUGCGGGUGGAGCGCUUCGAGGUGACCCUGCUGGACCUGCCCGGGGCCCCGCGCUCCCGCAGCGCCUGGCGCAGCCACUACAGCGCAGCCCAUGGGCUCCUCUUCGUGCUGGACUCCAGCGACCUGGCACGGAUGGAGGAGGCCCGCAGGGUCCUGAGCCGCGUCCUGAGCCACCCUGAUGUCUCCGGGAAGCCCCUCUUAUUGCUGGCCAACAAGCAAGACGCAGCGUCUGCCCUGCUGCCCUGCGAGCUGAUCGAGCGCCUGUCCCUGGAGCGCCUGGUCAACGAGAACCGCUCCCCCUGCCGCAUCGAGCCCUGUGCCGCCAAGCGGGGCCCCGCCGCCGGCCCGCCCCGCACCACGCUGCAGGGGCUGCGCUGGCUCCUCCGCACCAUCCCCACCGGCCCGGCCCCGGCCCCGCCGCCCGCCGCCGCUCCGCAGCCCGGCCCCGGCCCCAGGGCAGCCCGCGGCCGCCAGCCCGCCCGCAGGUGGGUGCGGGGGUCCCGGGGUGCCCGUCCCUGUUCCCCGUUGUCCCCAUCCCCAUCCCGACCCCUCGCUGUGCUCUCGGCCCAGCAGGGACCCGCUGCUCCCCGCGGAGGAUGCCCGGGAUGGCGCGGGGAUAACGGGAGAGAACCGGGUACCGCGGCCCGUGCCUCGCCUCCUGCCCCUGGAGGACAGCGCUAAGGGCACUGGGAGGAAGAAGAGGAAGGUGAAGUGCAGGCCGUGAAAAAGAAAAAGAAGAAGAAAAUCAAGAAUAAAAUCAAGUCGCAGGAUCCCGCUGUGGAGCAGCAGCAUGAGGAGGUCUCAAGCACCUUCGACCUGUACCGCCGGGCGAUGCUGGCCCUGAAGAUGA